UUCAAGACUUGAAGCGUCAAAUUGGCAGAAGCAGAAUUUACAUACUACCCAAUUCACACGUAUCUCUUUAUAGACAGGCUACAGCAUCCCUGAGUCAGAGCAGUGAAGGAAGAUCCAGUGUUAUUUCAGCAGCUGAGACGAGAAACAGUCCAGUACUUCCACAGCUGUGCCAGGAUGAAAAUAAUGGCCACAUAUAUGUAAAUGCUGGCACUCCUGAGGUGUUCUACCGAACUGAUCAGCCAAUUCAAGAUGUGAUAACUACCC